rnacentral:rRNA from 1 species
CACGUAGGGGACGAGCGUUGUCCGGAUUCAUUGGGCGUAAAGCGCGCGUAGGCGGCCCGGCAAGUCGGAUGUGAAAACCUGGGGCUCAACCCCAGGCGUGCACCCGAUACUCCCGGGCUGGAGGCAGGUAGGGGAGAUCGGAAUUCCUGGUGUAGCGGUGAAAUGCGCAGAUAUCAGGAGGAACACCGGUGGCGAAGGCGGAUCUCUGGGCCUUGCCUGACGCUGAGGAGCGAAAGUGUGGGGAGCGAACAGG